rnacentral:rRNA from 1 species
CCUACGGGGGGCAGCAGUGAGGAAUAUUGGUCAAUGGACGAGAGUCUGAACCAGCCAAGUCGCGUGAAGGAUGACUGCCCUAUGGGUUGUAAACUUCUUUUAUCUGGGAAUAAAACGUUGCACGUGUGGGAUUUUGUAUGUACCAUAUGAAUAAGGAUCGGCUAACUCCGUGCCAGCAGCCGCGGUAAUACGGAGGAUUCGAGUGUUAUCCGGGUUUAUUGGGUUUAAAGGGUGGGUAGGUGGUUCGUUAAGUCAGUUGUGAAAGUUGGCGGGUCAAACGUAAAAUGGCAGUUGAAACUGGCAGGCUUGAGUACAGGAGAGGUGCGCGGAAUGCGUGGUGUAGCGGUGAAAUGCUUAGAUAUCGCGAAGAACUCCGAUUGCGAAGGCAGCGCACUGGAGUGAAACUGACACUGAGGCUCGAAAGUGUGGGGAUCAAACAGGAUUAGAUACCCUGGUAGUC